AUCAUACCAGCACUAAUGCACCGGAU
rnacentral:snRNA from 1 species